GUCUACACCCAUGUCAUCCUGAAUGUGACUAAUCUCGUCUGAUCUUGGAAGCUAAGCAGGAUUGUGCCUGGUUGGUACUGGAAUGGGAUUCCACCUAGGAAUACCAGGUGCUGUAGGCA
ensembl:rRNA 5S_rRNA 5S ribosomal RNA